GGAUGAACGCUGGCGGCGUGCCUAAUACAUGCAAGUCGAACGAGUUCUCGUUGAUGAUCGGUGCUUGCACCGAGAUUCAACAUGGAACGAGUGGCGGACGGGUGAGUAACACGUGGGUAACCUGCCCUUAAGUGGGGGAUAACAUUUGGAAACAGAUGCUAAUACCGCAUAGAUCCAAGAACCGCAUGGUUCUUGGCUGAAAGAUGGCGUAAGCUAUCGCUUUUGGAUGGACCCGCGGCGUAUUAGCUAGUUGGUGAGGUAAUGGCUCACCAAGGCGAUGAUACGUAGCCGAACUGAGAGGUUGAUCGGCCACAUUGGGACUGAGACACGGCCCAAACUCCUACGGGAGGCAGCAGUAGGGAAUCUUCCACAAUGGACGCAAGUCUGAUGGAGCAACGCCGCGUGAGUGAAGAAGGCUUUCGGGUCGUAAAACUCUGUUGUUGGAGAAGAAUGGUCGGCAGAGUAACUGUUGUCGGCGUGACGGUAUCCAACCAGAAAGCCACGGCUAACUACGUGCCAGCAGCCGCGGUAAUACGUAGGUGGCAAGCGUUAUCCGGAUUUAUUGGGCGUAAAGCGAGCGCAGGCGGUUUUUUAAGUCUGAUGUGAAAGCCCUCGGCUUAACCGAGGAAGCGCAUCGGAAACUGGGAAACUUGAGUGCAGAAGAGGACAGUGGAACUCCAUGUGUAGCGGUGAAAUGCGUAGAUAUAUGGAAGAACACCAGUGGCGAAGGCGGCUGUCUGGUCUGUAACUGACGCUGAGGCUCGAAAGCAUGGGUAGCGAACAGGAUUAGAUACCCUGGUAGUCCAUGCCGUAAACGAUGAAUGCUAGGUGUUGGAGGGUUUCCGCCCUUCAGUGCCGCAGCUAACGCAUUAAGCAUUCCGCCUGGGGAGUACGACCGCAAGGUUGAAACUCAAAGGAAUUGACGGGGGCCCGCACAAGCGGUGGAGCAUGUGGUUUAAUUCGAAGCAACGCGAAGAGCCUUACCAGGUCUUGACAUCUUUUGAUCACCUGAGAGAUCAGGUUUCCCCUUCGGGGGCAAAAUGACAGGUGGUGCAUGGUUGUCGUCAGCUCGUGUCGUGAGAUGUUGGGUUAAGUCCCGCAACGAGCGCAACCCUUAUGACUAGUUGCCAGCAUUUAGUUGGGCACUCUAGUAAGACUGCCGGUGACAAACCGGAGGAAGGUGGGGAUGGCGUCAAAUCAUCAUGCCCCUUAUGACCUGGGCUACACACGUGCUACAAUGGAUGGUACAACGAGUUGCGAGACCGCGAGGUCAAGCUAAUCUCUUAAAGCCAUUCUCAGUUCGGACUGUAGGCUGCAACUCGCCUACACGAAGUCGGAAUCGCUAGUAAUCGCGGAUCAGCACGCCGCGGUGAAUACGUUCCCGGGCCUUGUACACACCGCCCGUCACACCAUGAGAGUUUGUAACACCCGAAGCCGGUGGCGUAACCCUUUUAGGGAGCGAGCCGUCUAAGGUGGGACAAAUGA
rnacentral:rRNA from 1 species